GAAACUCUGUGAAUAGAGAUAGGAUAUGGGAUUGUCUCCACCAGCCUGCCGCCAUCACACAGCGGAACCGCUGCCGGUGAAAUUGUCUUCUUUUGUUUUUCCCUUUCAGUCCGCCGUUAAGCGUAGAACCUCUACCCGUUACCCCUCUCUCAAACACAGAACCAAGUUAUUUCACAAAAAGCUUGCGAGGGCAUGACUAUGGAAUUUCAUAGCGAGGAAUAUAGAGAUUGUGGCUCAUGUUGAUCCUAGAGAGACGUCUUUGGUUGAUUCUAUUUUAAACAAGCAAAGGAAAAUCUUGCAAUUCAAUUGCUUCCUUCUCUACCAGAUCGCUUGCUAUUAGGUGAUGCUGAUUACUAUCUUGAUUUAAUUGAUGAGGUCUUGAAACACACAUAUUUUUACUCAAUGAGGUGUUAUACUGGUAGCAUAUAUUAUUGAUAAAGCACUGGAGCUUGCAGCACGAUCUAGAGGUAGUAAUGGUCAAUGGGUUAAUGUUGUGGUGUAACUGCCAAAACUCCCACUUGGACCUUUAAGGGAGCCUUUGAGUUGACUGCACUAAAACAGGCAGAUGUUGCUAUCAUCGAUAAUGCAGAUUUGAACCAAGUGCAGGAAUGGUGGACAUAACAAGCACGGCUGUGGCCAUAUCAAAUAAGUUUAUCAAGAUCUGAAUUUUUUCUAACCGCUGGAUCAUUGUCUCCUCAAAAUAUCAAAGACUGCCACUCCUAUUUUUCAGUGAUAUAUAUGGGCCCUGAAGCCACAGAGCAGAUAAGGAUACAGCAGUCAAGUUAUUAGAAUAAUUGUAGCAGUUUAUCCCUAUCAAGUGACAAUAGUUUUCUCUAUCAUAAAAAACAAAAAAGUAGCAGUAGUUUUUUGUGUUUGUUGUUGAUAGGGUCAAGUAGCAGUAGUUGGAUUUGAAAUAAACUCAUUCUAUUUUGUAGAGUAGAUAAGGUGAUUACGUUGGUUGUCAUUACUCAUUAGGAUGUUAUUAUAUCAUUAGCCAAUUGUUUCGGCUAUUUUAUACA